GCCUACACAUGCAGUCGAGCGGAACGAGUUAUCUGAACCUUCGGGGAACGAUAACGGCGUCGAGCGGCGGACGGGUGAGUAAUGCCUAGGAAAUUGCCCUGAUGUGGGGGAUAACCAUUGGAAACGAUGGCUAAUACCGCAUGAUGCCUACGGGCCAAAGAGGGGGACCUUCGGGCCUCUCGCGUCAGGAUAUGCCUAGGUGGGAUUAGCUAGUUGGUGAGGUAAGGGCUCACCAAGGCGACGAUCCCUAGCUGGUCUGAGAGGAUGAUCAGCCACACUGGAACUGAGACACGGUCCAGACUCCUACG
rnacentral:rRNA from 1 species